rnacentral:rRNA from 1 species
AGGACGAACGCUGGCGGCGUGCUUAACACAUGCAAGUCGAGCGGAAAGGCCCUUCGGGGUACUCGAGCGGCGAACGGGUGAGUAACACGUGAGCAACCUGCCCUUAGCUCCGGGAUAGCUCCGGGAAACCGGAAUUAAUACCGGAUACGACCACGGCCGACAUACUGCUGUGGUGGAAAGGAUUCCGGCUAAGGAUGGGCUCGCGGCCUAUCAGCUAGUUGGUGGAGUAACGGCCCACCAAGGCGACGACGGGUAGCCGGCCUGAGAGGGCGACCGGCCACACUGGGACUGAGACACGGCCCAGACUCCUACGGGAGGCAGCAGUGGGGAAUAUUGCGCAAUGGGCGAAAGCCUGACGCAGCGACGCCGCGUGGGGGAUGAAGGCCUUCGGGUUGUAAACCCUUUCAGCAGGGACGAAGCGAAAGUGACGGUACCUGCAGAAGAAGCGCCGGCUAACUACGCGCCAGCAGCCGC